rnacentral:lncRNA from 1 species
UCACGAUAUUUGAGUCUGCAUGAUCCCUGAGCUCCUUCAACCAUUUUUGGACAUUGUCGUAGGACUCUGAAAGUUAAGAGAAGCUAUAGCAAGUUUUCCGAGUACUGUCACAGCGCAGUACCUGACUUGGUGAUGUCAUAGACAAGGAGUGCGCCAACUGCCCCUCUGUAGUACGCGCUCGUUAUGGCCCUAUACCUUUCUUGGCCAGCUGUGUCCCAUAUUUGUGCUUUGACCGUUUUGCCUUCCAACUGCAGGAACGAACUUUCAUGGCACUUAGAAAGUUUGCUUAAUUAACGCAUACCUCGAUGCAUCGCGUUGCGAACUCUACGCCGAUGGUUGACUUCGACUCCGAGCAGAAUUCAUUUCGCGUAAAGCGUGACAGCAAAUUGGACUUUCCGAC